rnacentral:rRNA from 1 species
UGGGGAAUAUUGCGCAAUGGGGGCAACCCUGACGCAGCAACGCCGCGUGAAGGAUGAAGGUUUUCGGAUUGUAAACUUCGACAAACAGGGAAGAAAAAAUGACGGUACCUGUCUGAAGCCACGGCUAACUACGUGCCAGCAGCCGCGGUAAUACGUAGGUGGCAAGCGUUGUCCGGAUUUACUGGGUGUAAAGGGCGUGUAGGCGGGCGCUUAAGUCAGCGGUGAAAUACCGGAGCUUAACUCCGGGGCUGCCGUUGAAACUGGGCGUCUUGAGUGUCGGAGAGGAAAGCGGAAUUCCUAGUGUAGCGGUGAAAUGCGUAGAUAUUAGGAGGAACACCAGUGGCGAAGGCGGCUUUCUGGACGAUAACUGACGCUGAGGCGCGAAAGUGUGGGGAGCAAACAGGAUUAGAUACCCUGGUAGU